AAAAUUAGAGUGUUCAAAGCAGGCAGACAUCAACCAUCUGCCACCGAAUACAUUAGCAUGGGAUAAUGGAAUAGGACCCUGUCCUCCUAUUUUCAGUUGGUUUUCGAGGACCAGGGUAAUGAUUAAUAGGGAUAGUUGGGGGCAUUAAUAUUUAAUUGUCAGAGGUGAAAUUCUUGGAUUUAUGAAAGAUUAACUUCUGCGAAAGCAUCUGCCAAGGAUGUUUUCAUUAAUCAAGAACGAAAGUUAGGGGAUCGAAGACGAUCAGAUACCGUCGUAGUCUUAACCAUAAACGAUGCCGACCAGCGAUUAGGAGACGUUGAAUACAAAACACCACCAUCAGGCGGGUCGUUCCUGGCCGGUCGUUCGUGCGGCAACGUGCGGGCGGCUGGUGGAGCGGUCGU
rnacentral:rRNA from 1 species